rnacentral:rRNA from 1 species
AUCCUGGCUCAGGAUGAACGCUAGCUACAGGCUUAACACAUGCAAGUCGAGGGGAAACGAUAUUGGAAGCUUGCUUCCGAUAGGCGUCGACCGGCGCACGGGUGAGUAACGCGUAUCCAACCUGCCCAUCACUUGGGGAUAACCUUGCGAAAGUAAGACUAAUACCCAAUGACGUCUCUAGAAGACAUCUGAAGGAGAUUAAAGAUUUAUCGGUGAUGGAUGGGGAUGCGUCUGAUUAGCUUGUUGGCGGGUAACGGCCCACCAAGGCGACGAUCAGUAGGGGUUCUGAGAGGAAGGUCCCCCACAUUGGAACUGAGACACGGUCCAAACUCCUACGGGAGGCAGCAGUGAGGAAUAUUGGUCAAUGGGCGAGAGCCUGAACCAGCCAAGUAGCGUGCAGGAUGACGGCCCUAUGGGUUGUAAACUGCUUUUAUAAGGGAAUAAAGUGGGAGUCGUGACUCUUUUUGCAUGUACCUUAUGAAUAAGGACCGGCUAAUUCCGUG